CGCUGCCUGCGGUGUUCGACAUGGGUCGGGUUACCUCUCGACCCUAAUGUUGCUACCCACGGGACAUUGAUUCGCGUUGCUGUGUGCAUGUCCGUAUCGAGCUUCGGCUCGAGAACGGAAAGCCUAACGCGGCGUGAUGAUGUCCCACCUAUUGCUCUGGUCGAGAGCAAUGGCCUAUGACGGCACAGGCGGGUGGCGC
rnacentral:other from 1 species